rnacentral:lncRNA from 1 species
CCCGCCCCCGGUCUCCCCUGCCCUCCCCUCACGGGCCACCGCCCCGCCCCGCCGGGCCCGGCCCGGCCCCGCCGCCCGGCCCGCGCCGCUCCGCGCCCACCGCGCUGGGGCCGCCGCGCUGCCCGGCUCCGCUGCGGGCCGGGGGGUACCACGGCCCGGCCCGGCUCGAUACAGCCCGGCUCGGUGCGGUCGGGCUCGGCGCGGCCCGGCAGGAGGGCGGCUGCGAUCUGCCGCGGCCGGCGAUGGGAGAUGGAGGGAACCGGCGGUGCGGCAGAAGCACUUGUGUGGGAUAAUGAUGUAUCGGCUCAUGCCCAGAACGUUGCCAAGGCCAAAUAUGAAUUUUUAUUUGGCUUGAAAGAAGAGAAGCCUUCAGGAAGGGCAGGGACUCAUGUGCUGGAGACACAUUGCUGGAGGAAGUCCCUGCACUUCUCGUUCUUCAGCCACAAAUUCUGUAGCUGCACAUGCUGA